GGGGGAUAACUUGGGGAAACCCAAGCUAAUACCGCAUACGACCUACGGGUGAAAGGGGGCUUUUAGCUCUCGCUAUUAGAUGAGCCUAAGUCGGAUUAGCUGGUUGGUGGGGUAAAGGCCUACCAAGGCGACUAUCUGUAGCUGGUCUGAGAGGAUGAUCAGCCACACUGGGACUGAGACACGGCCCAG
rnacentral:rRNA from 1 species